rnacentral:rRNA from 1 species
AUUGAACGCUGGCGGCAGGCCUAACACAUGCAAGUCGAGCGGAGCGGCGGACGGGUGAGUAAUGCCUAGGAAUCUGCCUGGUAGUGGGGGAUAACGUCCGGAAACGGGCGCUAAUACCGCAUACUAUCAGAUGAGCCUAGGUCGGAUUAGCUAGUUGGUGGGGUAAAGGCCUACCAAGGCGACGAUCCGUAACUGGUCUGGGAGGAUGAUCAGUCACACUGGAACUGAGAAACGGUCCAGAAUCAUACGGGGAGCAGCAGUGGGGAAUAUUAGACAAAUGGCGAAAGCAUGACCCAAGCAUGCCGCGUGUGUGAAGAAGGUUUUCGGAUUCGUAAGCGCUUUAAGUUGGGAGGCGUUACCAACAGAAUAAGCACCGGCUAACUUCGUGCCAGCAGCCGCGGUAAUAC